rnacentral:misc_RNA from 1 species
UUUCCGUAGGUGAACCUGCGGAAGGAUCAUUAUUGUAUAACCGAGGUGCGAGGGCUGUCGCUGACCCGACAAGUCGUGCACGCCCGAGUGCCCUCACACACAUCCAUCUCACCCCUAUGUGCACCACCGCGUGGGUCCCCCUUUGGCUUGUUCGGAGGGGGGCUUACGUUUUCACACAAACUUUGUAUGCAGUGUAGAAUGUAUUUUUUGUUUUUGCGAUCACGCAAUCAAUACAACUUUCAACAACGGAUCUCUUGGCUCUC